CAGCAAGAUCCUGUAUUAACAUCUCAGAAACGGACAGCAAGAUCCCGCAUUAACAUCUCGGAAAUGGACAGCAAGAUCCCAUAUUAACAUCUCGGAAACGGACAGCAAGAUCCCGCAUUAACAUCUCGGAAAUGGACAGCAAGAUCCCGUAUUAACAUCUUGGAAAUGGAAAUGGAAAGCAAGAUCCCAUAUUAAUGUCUUGGAAACAGAAAGCAAGAUCGACAUUCACACCUCGGAAAUGGAAACAGAAAGCAAGAUCCUGUAUUAACAUCUCGGAAAUGGACAGCAAGAUCCCGUAUUAACAUCUCGGAAACGGAAACGGAAAGCAAGAUCCUGUAUUAACAUCUCGGAAACGGAAACGGAAAGCAAGAUCCCGCAUUAACAUCUUGGAAACGGACAGCAAGAUCCCGUAUUAACAUCUCAGAAACGGACAGCAAGAUCCCGCAUUAACAUCUUGGAAAUGGACAGCAAGAUCCUGUAUUAACGUCUUGGAAAUGGAAACAGAAAGCAAGAUCCCAUAUUAACAUCUCGGAAAUGGACAGCAAGAGCCUGUAUUAACAUCUCAGAAACAGAAAGCGAGAUACCGCAUUAACAGCUCGGAAAUGGACAGCAAGAUUGCGUAUUAACAUCUCGGAAAUGGACAGCAAGAUCC
rnacentral:lncRNA from 1 species